AUGGACAUGGGCGAGCUCUUCAACCCAGGCUGCGGCGGGGCGGGCGGCGCCGGCUGCGACUGCGGGGACUGCGAGGAGUGGAGGCGCUACUGCUACUGGAACCACGACCACGGCACCAAGCAGUUCCUCCUCUUCGCCUCCCACGACAAAAAUCAUCUGUGCAUACCAUGGGAGGUCUCAAGCCAGCUGAGAGAUAUGAUCCCUGACUCCGAGCCUAUCAAACUUGAAACUCCUGACGGUCGCACGUACAGUGUUAAAUUCUUCAAGUUCGGCCGGAUAACUCUUACGACUGGGUGGCGGGGCUUUGUGGAUGCAAAUCACAUAGAAGAGAACAACCCCAUGUUGUUCGUGUACCGUGGGAAUUCAACCUUUAAGGUUCAAAUAUUCAAUUCAUCCGGCCGCGACAAGAUUUUGCCCUGUUCUCAACCACCUUGCAAUCAUCAUGUGCUGAAUGAACAAGUGGUGCCUCAUCCUGAACAUGUUGAUAGCUCAGCCCACUUUGGCUAUACCAUGUUGCCCGGGAGCUUUGUAACCAAAGCACAAGAUGAUAAAUUGCUAGAAUGGGCUAAUACCAUAGUCUGGAUUUCCUCUUUUUGUGGCAGCCAGGGACGAGAGCAAUGUCAGCUUGAUCGACUGCCAUGUUGUAAGUUGCAUGAUGUUUUCUCAAAUCAUUUUUUGGUUAUGUUAGUUAUUCUAUUCAUGUUGAUCAAGAUUCUAGUAUCUUUUAAACCUUGGCUGUCUCUUGUUUGGCACAUGCAGUACAUACCACUGAGGCUUGUGGACCAGUUCAAAGAGGUUGUCAAGAUAGUAGCCCUUGACAAGAGUAUAUACGUUGUUGGAGCAAAGAAGCACAAUGAGGAUCAAAUCGUACUCCAAUCUGGGUGGGAUAGGUUUGUGACUGAUCAGUGCAUACAACAGAAUGACUUCCUCAUUUUCAUAAUUCAGGGGGAAACUCGCCUCAAAGUUCUCGUCCUUGACCCAAGCGGUAGUGAGAAAACUUUUGCCAUGGGAAACUCUUCCAAUGCCCAAGAAAAGCCACCACUCCCACCUACAGUUACUAACCAGAGUUCUGAGGACAAUGAACUUACUGACCAGAGUUCUGACAAUGAACUUACUGACCAGAGUUCUGACAAUGAACUUACUGACCUUAGUUCUGAUGAUUAUGAAGUCCUGGGAACAGACACUACAACGUCAAGGAGGGAGCAGAGGCCGCUACGAAGCUGUCGUGCAAAAGCUGAGAAGAUGGGCUCAACAUCCUGCCCUUCUACUAAAUCAGAUCAUAGUAUUAUAGUUGCCCUGUGCACUUCUUUCCAUUUGCCAUAUUUCAGACUAUCGACUUGUGGUUGUCGUAUGCUCACCACAAGAAAAUAUGGCAUGUUUUUCAGGACACAAAGCUGGCAACUCGAAUGA
rnacentral:rRNA from 1 species